CAUAGGAUAAAAAGUAGAACAGUAUAAAUAUAUAAGAGCUAGAAGUCGAAAUUAGUUAGAUUGUCAAAAACAUUAGAUUGCAAGAGUGCAUGUAAGAAGAUAGCGAUAGAGAUUGUAAGAGUGUUAAUUAAUAUACCGAAAGUACCGAUAGCAGAGCUCAGUCAUAUUUAACGAAUGCUAAAUGAAUAAAUAGAAAUUGAGAAAACCGAAUGUAUACAGUCUCAUUCGAGAACCAGCGAAGGAAUAAAUCUCACGAGGAGAAUUUGUAACAAACGUGGCAUUACGCAUUUCAUGAAUUUGUCCGCAUUUUAUUCUUUUUGUCCGCAUUUUAUUUUUUAAUCCAAAUUUUAUUCUUUUGUCCAUAUGCUAUUCUUUCGUUCGCAUUUUAAUCUUUUGUCCACAUUUUAUCCUUUUAUCCCAAAACCCAUCCCAUUUGUUCGGAGAAAAUAGUGCAAUGGUAAAAUAACUUUAUUUAGAAGCUUUCUAUACUUAAUUUAGAAGUGCGCAUGUUAAAGGCUUUGCCACCAAUCAUUCUAUAGACUAUAGAGUUUAUUUCACGCAGUCAAAUAUUUAUAAAUUGUAUGUCAUCAAAAGCUUACUUCAAGCGGGAAAAAUAUAUACGGCACAGACGAGAGCAUCAAGAUCCUAAAGUUGUUCGCGGCGGCGGCGUUGAGUCUAAUAGAUAUGACUCACCCAAAGAAGAACUGUCUA